ACUGGAAUGAGACCCUUUGUCCAUAUGAGCCCCAGACUCUCCUGACCAUAACAAUUGGUGCUAGAGGGAGGGACUCCUUGUAUAGGAUUGGAAUUCCUCCUCCUUCAAGAGGCACCUUUUGGGCCAAGGCCCAGGGGACAAAACCAUGUGGCCUAAGUGGCCCUUGAUUCCCUCGUCAAGCCCAUGCACUGCAGGCCCGAGUCGGGGACACAUCAUAGGCUAGAGUGGAC
rnacentral:lncRNA from 1 species